AGAGUUUGAUCCUGGCUCAGAGUGAAUGCUAGCGAUAUGCCUAACACAUGCAAGUUGAACGCAAACUAAAGUUUGAGUAGCGUACGGGUGAGUAAUGUGUGGAAAGUUAAUUUAAUAGUUGGGGAUAUGUAUAUUAUUAUAACUAUAAUAAGAAUAUUAAACUUAGGUUUUAUGUACGAAUGCCCAAUACUAUAAAUUUUUUUGUAGUUCUAAAAAGAUUAAUCGCUAUUAAAUGUUUCUAUGUAAGAUUAGGUAGUUGGCAAGGUAACAGCUUACCAAGCUUAUGAUCUUUAAUUGGUUUUAGAGAACGAUCAAUCACACUGGGACUGAAACACGGCCCAGACUCUUUAGGGAGGCAGCAGUGGGGAAUCUUGGACAAUGGGCGAAAGCCUGAUCCAGCAAUAUCGCGUGAGUGAGGACCACAAUCGUUAAAGCUCUGUUAUCGAAGACGAUAAUGACAGUAUUCGAUAAAUAAGCACCAGCUAACUUCGUGCCAGCAGCUGCGGUAAUACGAAGGGUGCAAGUGUUAUUCGUCAUGACUGGGCGUAAAGGGCAUGUAGGUGGUUGACUAAGUUGCUUUUAAAAACCCAUGGCUUAACUGUGGAACUAUUUGCAAUACUGGUGAACUUGAGUAUUAUCGAUGGGAUACUGGAAUUUCUAGUGUAAAGGUUAAAUUUUUAAAUAUUAGAAGGACCCUCAGAGGCAUAGGCGAGUAUCUAGAUUUAUAAACUGACACUGAGAUGCGAAAGCGUGGGGAGCAAACAGGAUUAGAUACCCUAGUAGUCC
rnacentral:rRNA from 1 species